UAUAUAUAUAUAUGGUUGUUGGUUUAAAGGGAUUAACAUCCUAUCCUACGAUGGAGGUCAUGGUUGGACCGAAUCAUGUUCGAAAUAGCAGGAGAUCGGGUUGGACCAAGUCAUGUUCGAAGUGACGUGAGGCUAGUUGAAUCGAGUCACAAACGAGACUCAUAGAUACUGUGUCCGUAUAUUUUAAGUGAAUUAAUUAUAUAUUCUUAUAUUCUUAUCAACUCAAACUUUC
rnacentral:lncRNA from 1 species